CGUUUUAAACUUUGGUUAUCAGAUGCCUUUGGUUACUACACCGGGACAUAUUGUAUUGCAGAACGACAAAUCUGCUGUUAACAAUGAGCAGUUUGUGUCCAAAGAAAUCAAAAAGAUAGUAGAGAAAGGUUGUAUUCUGAAAGUAAAUAAAAAUACCAAGGACAGUAAACCCGUUGGCGGUAGCAGUCAAACAUAAUUUCGCAUCAAGGAGAACAAAUGGCUUUGACAUAACAAAGAAAUGACAAUAUUCGUUAAAAAUAGCAUGGUACCAGGAGAGCUAGAUGCCUAUAUUCCCAACAAUAUGAGCCAGUCCGAAAGAGAGUCUACAACAGGUGCAAUACAGCUCAUUAAAAAUGUUUUGAGAAAAGAUUUGUCAGAUAAUGUCGUGUAUCAUGAUCAACAGUUAAGGUCAUCACAGAUAGACCAAAGCUGACAUGGAAUGAAAUAGUAAAACGAGACAUAGAGUUUACAGGAUUGGAUAGGAUCAAUCCACUUGGUCACCAAGUAUAGAAAAACAAAUUUCGACCUCAACAGGACACCCAGCCCUAACCCCUCCGAAAGGAUUAAUUUGGCCUGGAUAAUCAAAAUGGAGUUUUGAGAUUGAUCGCUGUUCGUUAUCUUCACCUUUCAUGAUGAUGGAAGCUCAGUGAAGGUAGAUGCUGGCAAUGAAGCUCUUUAGCAAUAGAACAAACAGGCUUAACAUUAAGGAUAUGCGGGACGAUGAUCACGUGAUGGUUGCAAAUUUAUUAUAAAUUUAGAACCGGACGCAGCGUAGUUAAGCUUCCCGAGAAAAAUCCCAAUACUGUACAGACACACUAUACGACGUCAUAAUAAAAAAGUACGUCACGACGUUGCAUCGCGGGGAAAAUGUCAUCAUA